ncrna:Carica papaya miR164e stem-loop (cpa-MIR164e)
UGGAGAAGGGGAGCACGUGCAAAGAGGGGAAAGCCAUGGAGAAUUUGCACGUGCCCUGCUUCUCCAAC